UAUGUAAAAUUUGAACAAUCCCUUAACCCUAGUCUCUAACAAACAACUCUUCCAGCCACCGCUAGUCUCCCUUUGUCUCCAUCAUUUCCCUAUUUCCCCCACCAAAACUCACUGGCCAUCCACCUUUUCUUCCCCUAUCAUCAUGCAAAUCAGCCAUGACACCACCUUCUGAGCAUCAUCAUUAACCUCCUUUUACCAUUGUUCUAUCUUGGAACACCGUUACACCAACCGAAAAAAUUCAUCGUACCUACGACCAAUAGAUCUUCACUGCACUAAUACAGUUAACCUCCAUUACCCCCUCCCCCCACAAAAUGCCAGAAUUGGUAAUGAUCUACAAGUAUUCAGAUGCAAAUGGGAACGCAGAAUCAGUUAUCAAGUAUAAAGAGGUGUCAAUCUUUUUGGGUCGGACAGCAAAAAAGCAUGGUCGUAUGCAUAAGCUAAUCGUUACAUGACUUGGUUGAUGGAAAUUCUUAUGUCUAUACAAGGGUCACAAAUGGAGACAAAUGAUCCUACUGAUAGUUACAUGCUAUAGAGAAAUCAAAUUUCAAGGCAAGAAGAAGCUGUCCAUGAUCAAAAUGAGUAGGCUGCAGGGGGGAAAAUAUGCAGGAGAUUUCAGACAGUUUUUUUUUACAGAAAAAAGGGAAUAGCUACUCUUUCUAAUCAUCAAGAAGUCAAGAAAUCUGAUGAUACAGGUGUCAGAAUUGAUCGAACUACUUGUGGAAACAGGGAGUUUCAGAAUGUAUCACUAGGUACUGGUUCUGGGCAGAAAACAAGUGAGGAAGUUGCGGUGAAAGUCAAAGGAAUGGGCAUCAGUUAACGUGUAAGCAACCUGGUGAUGCAAUUUUGCAAGGCAAUAGAAAUUUGUCGACGCAAGCGAGGAACUCUAAGGAUGUAACACAUAAAAGGAAUUCUAGUAGAUCACAAGAAAAGAAGACGGAUAUGAGCUGGUGCAAUUAAUUUCAAAUUCCAGUAGCACUGAAAAUGUUGCAUGGAAUUUUGAUGCUUUUGUUUCUAGGUCAAAUGCAAGAGACUUGGGCAAAGGUUUGGACAUGGCUAAUGAGAAGGGAUGGACCGCUCACAUAUGAAGAAUGUAGUAACUCUAAUGGGUUCAUCAGGUCACAACAAGAUACAACAAAUUUAUUGAUCUUAUGUCUCUAAGGAUUUACUUAGCACAAACUUGUAAGACAUUUUGAUGAAUAAAGGGAGUUGCAGCUGUCAGAACAAAGGAUGAAUUGCAAUCCAAGGAGAUGCAACUUAUGCUGGUUAAUGUUGGUCACAAACCCUCUACUGUUACCCUCACUUCAAUUGGAGUUCAAAUUCUGGAUAACAUGAUGUACUGCCUAGAAAUUCAUUUACAAUAAUCAUGAUAUUAAUCAGCCCAAAGGGAAUUGAAAGAAAACUGGGACACCCAUUCCAGUUUUUGAUUUAGUCACGAUGAACACCUCUGCACAAGAAAUUCCUUCACAAUAAUUGGAAUUAUCUGCAGAAAAAAAAAUACAACUUUGAAGGAGGUGAACAAGAAACAACUUGGACAACAUUAUCAAGUUGUAUCUAUGGUGUCUUCAGCAACAAAAUUCAGCAGUUCAUGAGGCUGCCAAGUCACUCAACUCAAAUAUAAACAAACCCACUCAAUGUGACGUUGAACACCUUGGGUCAUGAGGUCCCUUCCCAAUCUUUGGAAUUGCUUGGGGAACAUCAAGGUGAAUCUGGACAGCUCGAAUUGUCCACAGGGAGUAAUAAAAACUUGAUGUAAGGGGAGAUAAGUACUCCUUGCUGGUUUGAUUUGGUUGAUGGAGUGUAGUAAGUUUCACCUCCUCAUUUGAAUAGAAAAUAUUGGUGUAUAUGCAUUUUAUUAGUAAAUUAAUAUAUUAAGUGCAUAUGUUAGUGGGUAUAAAUUGUGUAUUAUGAGUAUUAUUACUUACAUAUAUUAGUGGAAGAAUGUGGUCAUAAGUUUUCAUGAAACUCCUACGACUACUAAUACUUUAUUUGCUCAUUAUGAUAGUAACUCAUGUAACAUCCAAACUAUUCAUCUGCACACAUUACUAUCCCUCAUUCAUCUCAUUACAGAAAAGGAUAAGUACCUCUUCUAUAAAUAGAGGUGGUCUUCUAUACUCUUGUAUGAAGUAGAAAAAAUGAUGUGUGAAAAUUAUAUUAGUGAAAGAGAGAGUUGAGAUAAAGAAAAUUUUACAAGAUCAGCCAUAGUAUCUCGAUGGAACUCAGACACCACAUAAUUUUUAAAUACUCGUCUAGCAAUGAUAUAGUCACUAACAUGGGUAGGGACAGAGAAGGGUUCAGAAAUAUUUUCAGGCUCAAAAUCAAAACUAACGCCACAUAAGGGGUCAUAUAAGACAAGGAAGACCCGGGAUCCCAUAACAUAUAGAUAUCACGAGAGAAGAUUUGUAACAUACUAGUAACCACAUCUGGUGAAUCCUCUGUGUCCUGACGAGUAGACAAAGCAUAUAGAUGGUUAUGACCACCACUUGUACCUGAAGUAGUGCCUUGAACUAAAGGCGUCGAGGGGUUUCCUUGAGCCUUAGCACCCCUAAAGGUCCCCUUUGCAGAGGGACAUUCCUUGAUGACUACACCCAUAACACAUAAAAGUUCUAACCUGACACUUUCCUUGGGGAUUCUUUUUAUAAUUGUUGCAGUGUGGAUGAAAUAGGACUGGUUCACUCCUCUAUGAGUAUGAGUGUCUUGAUUUCAUGGCCCGUACUAGGAUUAAAAUUCUUCUCACCUGAAGAUCUGGGUGCAAGAGCAUUAGCUGAAGACUGAGCAUUACUCAAAAGAUUUAUCUUGGACCACUUCUUGCCCCAUUUUCCACCCUACUACUGACUGAUAUUCUAAUUGGCCGACCUAGAUUUCUUAGACUGCCUUUCCUUAUUCCAUGCCUUUUUUUCUUCUCUUUCUCCACUUGUUGUAUGUACACUACCUGGAGAUAUCUAUAUCACAGUUUAGAACAACCCUCUUACACUCUAAUACCAAAUCUUCAGAGAGACUGGAUGCAAACUUCCUCAUGUAAGACCUCAAAUUUGACACCAACUCUGGGGCAUAGUAAGAUAGCUAGGUGAAUUUUAAAAUAUACUCUUUGACGCUUAUCUUCCCCUACUUCAGAUUAAUAAAUUAUUCAGCUUUAGCUUCCAUCAACCCCUAGGAAAGAAGACAUCUAGAAAAGCCUGUAAGAACUCCUCCCAUUAUGCAGGUUCAGUAUCCUUAACCCUUAACUCUUCCCACUCAUCGCGCCACUGAUUAGGCACAUCUUUCAGGUGAUAAGAUACAAACUCUACCCCAUCAAUAUCACUAGAAUGCAAGACUCUAAAUAUCUUUUCUAUCUCAUCCACGAACCCUUGAAGAUCCUCCUCAACCUUAGUACUCAUAAAGGCGGGUGGGUUAAGCCUCAUGAAUUAACCAACCCGAGUGAUUUUAGAAGGAUAAUGCACAAAACCUAUAUCUCCAGCCCGAUGAGACUAAGAAGUCAUAAACUGGUAAUCAUAUGGAUAUACUGAUGGAAAAUAUUUAAGACCUCACUAUAUGAGGACUGAGUACGGUUAGAACCAGUCCGAGGAGCUUAAGGAGGGCUAAUGGGGACUGAUGGAACCCCUAGAGAGUAUAGAAGUCUAGACUACGGGCUUUAUAACAGGUCCGACCCAUAAGUAGGGAGGACGUCUUCAGUAUUUUCCCCAAUAGAUACAGAGUUCCCAUCUAAGGUUUUUGACCAUUAGAUCUACGGGGUGGCAUGACCUGAGAUUUUGAAUUUCAUGAACUUAGGAAAUAUUCAAACCCUACAGUAUGAACUAGAACAUAAAGAAAAAGGAAAACAUUCUUAAAUGCCUCGUAGCUUCAUCCUUAUAUGUGUGGAGUACUACACACCCAUCAAAAGGACUCUACUCGACACAACUUCGUAGAUACCUUAGGCUUGAACCAUGCUCUGAUACCAAGUUUUGCAUGACCCAAAUGGACACCCUGAUUGCAACAGGCGUCCCAAACUAUGAAUGCUCGAGAGACCCCUUAGCAAGUUAUCAUAACCAUUAUUCAUAUCAAAGAAAAACGGAAGAUAAACAAAAAUAUAAAAAUGAUUUAUAACCAUACUUAAUACUUCAAGACAUAAAUUCAUGAAAAACCUAAAUCUUAUCUAACAUGACUACAAAGACUCUACUAAAACAUUAGCCUGUCUAAACCGGGGCAAGGCCCCCGGUUGGGCCAAAAAACUGACUAAAACUAACAUAUAAAUAGAAUGCCUUCUGAAGUAAGUGAGGUUCACCAACUCUAAAUAAUUGAGAGCAUUCUACUGCUGAACUGGAAAUCUGUAUUAUAAGGUUCAAUACUUUUAAAGUAUUAGUAUGUAGAACUAACCCAAAAUAACAUAUAGUUUAGGUAAAAUAAUUUAGAGCAUUGGAAAAGCGAUUUAGCAUAAUGUAUAUAAAAACACAUGGGCAUAGAUUAAGAGCUUCAAAACAUUCUAGUAAACACAUAAUCUCAACUUUUUAUUUUAGUUCUAAGCUAGAUGGUACACCCUACAAGUUUAUUAUCCUAUGGGCUGUAUGGGAUCCAUCUUGAUUCGCUAUCCAAGCCACCUAUCCAAGUUUGCUGCAAGGAUAGGAGUAUCUUGUCUGAGUAAACAACUUCUUAAAGAAACUAUACGGUGAUAAUCCAUAUUUAAGGGCAAAAUCACUCCCGCAUAGGCAAAAUAUAAUUUUGGGCUAUGAGUUAUCUGAACUCGUGCCUUCUUCAGGUAACCAUCUAACUCUCUUGGAGCAUAUUUGUAGCCUCUUAAAGCAUGCAUUUUUCUCAAAACAUAGUAAAAAGUCUGAGAAGUCCAUAGUCUAGCUCGGUCUUAGUCUAUCAUGGCAAUCGUCUGAAUUGGUAUCAUCAUACCAAAACUUGCAAGUCAUAUAAGCCAUAUUAUAUCAUGUCAUGUCAUUCCAUGGUAUUUUUAUUUAAAACAUGUUAUUUGGACACCAAACUAAGAUUUACAUCUCACAAGAGAGUCUUUAUUUCAAAAGUAUAUGAAAACUUAUGCAAAAGCACUCUUUUUUCAAGAAUUUAACAUGGGGUGGCCAUCUCUUUCAUCAAUCACCUAGAAUUCUUAUGUUUGACACAAACAACAUUUAUGAGACACAAAAACACCCUCUCAAUUGAUCAUAAAACAAUGCCAAUCCAUAAGUGAUUGUAAUGUAUUUAACCUCACGAUUUUAAAUCAUUCGUUUGAGCAAACCAUGACAUGUUAAGGCAAUAGAUUUAAUCUUGAGAGAGUAAAUUUCAUAAAUCAUACUGUUAAAUCAAUUUUCAAAACUCAUAUCAUAAAUGUACAGGAUUAUAACUCAGGUUUAUGGAAAAACUCCAUGAUAAAUGCGUACUUUCAUUAAAAUAAGUUCAUGAUGCAAGAUCUUCAAACGGUUUUUAAAACCCAUUACAUAUACAUAUAUCUACAUUUUAAAGCUUGUUAAAACCUUAAAUUUAUGCCCAUGAGAGUUAGGACGUCCUACAUACCUUGAGAACGACAAGAAUGUAGAGUAAUUUGACCCUUGGAGCUUAGAAUUCCUCAAACCCUAGCUAGUUUCCUCUUCUCUUGCUAUUAGGGUUAUAAUUAGGUAUUUACUAUGGUGUAAAACGUUUUAAGGCACUAUAUGAAUUCAUAAUUAAUUCAAAAUUAUUUAAUGUUUUGAAAAGACCCAUAUGACCUUUAAAUAAUUCAAAAUAGAGCAAUUUUUGAAGCACGGGAGAGGGUUUACGGUGUGACCCCCAUUGCAGGAGGUUUGUGGCGCGAUCCCUAGUGUGAUUCUGGAGGUCUGCUAUGCGACCCUGGCACUAUCUCGAGGAACUGACCAUUUGAGGGUCCCUCUUUGGUGUGGUGCCAUUGUAGUGUGCCCGUUACACGACACAAACACAUUUUUUUUCAUGUCUAAACCACCUCCAACCCAUUCAACUCAACAUGACAUGAUUAAACAUCGAUAUUGGGGUCCUAAAGGCUUAUUUUAUGCAUUAUUUAAGCAUUAAAAAGUUUGGGAUGUUACCGUUGUACCUUGUUGUUACUUUGGGGGGGGGGAGAGAUUAUAGUGAACUACCAUUUUGUAAUGUUGAAAAAUCAGGCAUACACAAAGAAAGCUAUAAAGGAGUACAUGCAUAUAAUAAAGACAACCAACAUAAACACAUAGUUCACGCAAAGUCUGCUUAAUAAUAAUCAGGAAUACCACUUGAAGCAUGAGCAGAUAUCUUGAAACAAAUCUGUCUUCGAAUAUGCGGUCUCCUACAGUGAUUCUAAAUUCAUAAUCGAACUCUCUCGAUACUUGGCUCAAAAAGUACUAAAUAAAAUACUCAAUUAUUCUUCUUUUCUAGGCUUGGGGAAUCUUUAUUUAUAGAGAUACUCUACCAUUCAAAGAAGGAAAUAAAAACACACCCUUGUUUCUACUUGAAUAAGGACAGGUGGUAACGUUUUUUUUUCCUAUAGAAAAUUAGAAUUUUGAGUUUUAGUAGAAUAUGAUCACUGUAGGGACCACAAAAUUAAUUACUAAGGCUCCAUAUUAUGGAAAUUAUUCUAAACACUAAUUUGAAUUAUUCUUACCAUAAUAAAUUACUAAUUAUUCCACUAAAAAUUUGUAAUUGCACUCCUUUACUUUUAUUUUGAAAUUUUCCAUUAAACACUUAUGUAAUUUCCAUGUUAAGAUUACAGAUAUUAACUAAAAAAAUUAAAUUACUAACAAAUUUAAUAUAAUAAUUAAUUUUCUUUAGAGUAGUACUUUACUUAUUUCAUAUGUUGGAAUUAUAAAUCCUCCAGUCAGGAAAACAUAUUAAAACUUAUAAGCUUCUCAUAAUAGACAUAUCAUCAAUCUCUAUACCGAGACAUGGAUUCCAUCAACUAACUUAUUAUUUCACCAGUAUACAUUAUUAAAAUCCAAUCUACUAGGAAUAUUGGCCCAUCUCAGAAUCUCACCUUUUAAUAGUUUAGGGAAUAAGUUUUUAUCAGUCAGUCCAAAACAACUAUCUCAACUCGGUCCUGUUCAAUACAUACAAAAUGUACUAGAAUGAGAAGUUAGAACUAUACCAUUCUCAUAAUCAACAUAAAUUACAUUUAAUCUCGUGCUACAAUAAUUCUGAAGAUUUGUCCACAUUUUCAUCUAUGAUUAUGAACUAUAACUUUAACUUAUAAGAACUGAUGAUUUAAUCUUCUGCGUAUAAACUAAACUCUAUACACCCAAUUAUAUACUAUAUAAGUUGAGCACACAUACAUGACAAUAAUCCAUUUAAUAUAAUGAUUUAUUGAAUUGAAUAAAUAAAUAAAUAAUUAUUCAAUAAACAAUGCUACAUGAUUUAUAGUAUAUCCUAAUCUCCUACUUAGACUCCUAACCAUGCACCCACAACUCUAUCACCCAAUUCUUCUACAUGUCUUUUAAAAUGUUUUUGUAGGAAAGCUUUUGUAAAAAGGUCUACUAGGUUGUUUUUUGAGGCAAUCUUAGCAACAACCAUAUUUCCUUUUUACACUAUAUCUCGAAUCAAACUAUAUUUUCUCCCAAUGUGUGUUUCUUUACUAUUUCUUCAUGGUUCCUGUGAAUUUGCAACCGCACCACUAUUGCCAAAAUAAAUUACAAGUGAUGCUUCUAUCACAGGGAAAACUGCCAAGUCUUUGAGAACGUUUUGAGCCAUACUACCUCUUUUGUUGUCUCAAAAGUUGCUACAUAUUCAGCUUCCAUGGUGGAAUCAGUAACACAAGUUUUCUUAAUGCUCCUCCAAACAAUGGUUGAACCUCCCAAAAUAAACACAUUUUCAUAGUUUGAUUUUCUAGAGUCCUUGUUAGACUAGAAAUCUUAGUCUAUGUACCCUAUAGGCACCAACUUAUUCAAAUGGUAAAAUAGCAUAUAAUCCCUAGUCCUUUCAGGUACUUGAUAAUGUGCCUAACUAUUAGGAUGAAAUCUGUUAAGCUGCCCACGACAAAACAAAUAUUAGGUCUAGUGCACAACAUCAAAUACAUGAGGCUUCUCGAUGCAUAAGGAACUGCCUUUAUGUUUUCUAUUUCCUCAUCUAUCUUAGAACAUUGGUUCUUAGAAACAGAAAUUUCAAGUCUAAUAGGAAGAAAUCCUUUCUUAGAAUCAUGCAUGCUGAACCUGGUAAGAAUUAUAUCAAUAUUGUAACACCGUACAUUUUUGGGCUAGAAUUCAAAUCGUUGUUCCUAAGUAUAUAGAACCAAACCCAGUGAUUUUAUGUCUAUAUAUGUGUGAUGAUCAAAACUAUAGUGUGAAAAUUUCCUUUUAUAUCAGUCGAGGUCAUAAAAUUCUCCAAACUCAAAGACGAGUUCAGAACAUUUCUAUUGAUUAAGUUUUAGCAAACAUUUCAUCUUUGGUGAACUUUCAACGAUCAUUACUCCCUGUCCAUAAUGAGUUCCGUGGAGUACUAUAUAUCAAAAGAAAUAUAUUUGAAUAUUGUUUCCAACACAUUUAGUUUCACCUUAAUCAAUUAUCGGAACAAAAAGUUAAACCCAUUUUACUCCAGCAUGACAACCUAUCAACAAAGUGAUGACCUGAGCUGACGGGCCAUCACCUAUGUGACGACUUAUCAGCCCAAGUCAUCAGCCUUAGGAAAAACAUCAUCAAUCCCAUCUUCUAAGUGGCGACCUGGGGUGACGAGCCGUUACCUAAGUGAUGACUUAUCAGCUCAAGUCGUCACCCAUAAAAUCCAGCAAUCCCUAUACGGAUUGGGAGGGGUAUUUUGGUAUUUUCCCUCACCUCCCAUGACGUAAAUAAUCAAAAAUACGUACAUGGACAUCAUAAAUCAGUUUUAAAAACCCUUAAUCCUCUCCACUCUCAAGAACAAGAUUAUGGUUUCUUUUAAGGUAAUCUCCCAAGAAUUUCAAGACUCCAUUACACUCUUUACAAGAUUAUCAAGAAUUUAAGGUUCCCAAUCCAAGAACAUUCUAGAAAAGUCAAUUCUCUUUCAAGAUUAAAUCUCUAAGGUAUGUUAGAUGUUCAUCCAUGAGCCCUUCUCACCCAUGGAGUCCAAGAAUCCAUUUUAAGAGUUAAAUCAUGAGUUUACAUCUUUACAACAAACUAUCUCCGUGAAUCAUUAUGGUUUUCGAUUAUAGAUGAUGUUUACAAGGAGUCGUUGUUGAAAUUAAACUUUAAUCAUUAAAUUAUGGUUUAGUAUUAUAGCCAUGUAAUUAUCAUAUGUUUUAAACUAUUCCAAUGCUUAAGUCAUGCAUUGUAAGUGUUUGAUGAAAUGCCUCAAAGAAUGAGUUUUGAAUAUUGACUACAUGUCAUGUCCUCAAUGUUUUAGUAAGAUUUUGCUAUUAUUGCUAUCGAGUCUUGGGGGUUUGAAUACCCAAAAUUGCUAUUUUACUUAGUUUUCAAUACCCAUAAAAUGAUUUUAGAAUAUUCCAUGAGCAUUAUCUCUUCUUCCAGUCAUCAUAAUUAGUUAAACUUAGAUUAGUUCAGAAUUUAGUGUCAUUUAGUUGGGAGUAGGAUUUAGCACCGAGCAAAUGCAGGGAUGGUGAAUUUCCCGUUAGUUACAAAGAGUCAUUAGUAGCAGUCCCUGCAUUCCAGAACUUUGUAGCCAGCGUAGGAUGAAGAGUCACUCAUCAAAUUAGGCUCGACUACCUCCCAAUGGUCACCUAUCAGAUUAGGCUUGACUCCACCUAGGUGUCACCCAUCAGUUUAGGCAUGACAUCUUGGUUUUGCAGAAGCUUAGUGGAUCCACAUAGCCAUUGUUGGUACCUAUGGAAUGGUACUAACACCCUUUCACCUAGGGUUAUAUGUUGAACCCCAAUCAGUUCAGAGCGGGGCAUGUCGGUUAGAUAAUACCUCCUAGAGUUUUAGUUUCAGUAUUCAGUACAAAACUCAGUUCAGUUUUUCUUGACCAUAGCUUACAGUUUAUCAGUUAUUCAAUUAUCAAAUUUUUGUAUUUCAAUUACAUAAUAUAUCAGAAAUAUAUUAUAUGCUUAGUCAUGCAGUCUUACAUUUUAUAGCUUUCAUACAUUGAUAUUCAAUAAUCUCAUGCUAACUAGUCAGUCUUUGCUUCAUGCAUGUUCACUAAUGUAAUACCCCAUACUUUUCCUAGCUAAUUUCAUGUCAAGAAUGUCUAGUAUUAGCUUCUAAAUUUAAUGAUGGUUAUUCUAAGAGGUAUUUUAAAGAUUUUCACCUUUUGUCAUAUGGGAAAUUUAAUAAGCUUUCCAUCGAUAUAAUAUUCACUGAAAUUCGAUAACCGAGUCAGAAGAUACGACUAUUUUAAGUUUCCAUCGUAAAAAAGUGCCAUACAGAGGAAAUGAAAUUUGACUAAUUCCAGUAGGGGUCCACGAUUAUGGCCCUUUUCUAGUGUCUUAGCGCGAUUCCCUCCACAUCGUGCCAAAGUUUCAAGUCGUAAAAGAAGGAGAAACGCAAGGGUCCACAUUGUGCCAUCCCUCAGUUUCCCAAUUGUCAAAUUCUAGUGACAGGGUGUGAUAGCACCUUGUCGCGCCAGGGGUUCAGUUUGGGAAAAGUUUACUGAAAUUAAAUGACGCAUCCAGGGUUAAAAGGGUCAACUUCCCACCCCUAUUUAAGUAUUUUAACAUGUGAUUCAGCCACUUUUCACCCAAUACACUCUCUUCUCUCAAAAACCUCUCAAAGAACAAGCUAGGGUUUUCAUAGAAGAUCUAAUUUUAAGAAAUUUUCACCGUCAGUCUUUACAUCAUGAACAAAGCUAUGCAUAGUGUUCAUUCAUCAACUCCUUUCGUCCAUAAAGUCCAAGAAUCCCUUUUCCAACUUCAAGUUAUGGAUUUUCUUUAUAAUUUCAUGAUUGGUCUAUUUUUGUUCAUGUUGAUAAAUGAUAUAUUGAAUUCUACUCCAUGUUGGGUGAUAAUUUUUAUAUGGGUUUAAUUAUUAUAGAUAUAGAUUCAUGGAAACCUAUGACUAAAGCCUUAACUGAUGAAAUUAGAAUGUGACCAUGAUGUUUAAUUGUUGUAAAAUGAUGUUUACAUGUACCAUGCCUACAACAUGUUUGAUUUAAUGCCUAUAUGAAGGAAAAGUGCCUAACUAGCAUGUUG